rnacentral:rRNA from 1 species
GCCUCUUGCUCUCCCAUAAGAGGUCCAGCCUGCCCAGUGACUUAGUUCAACGGCCGCGGUACCCUAACCGUGCGAAGGUAGCGUAAUCACUUGUCUUCCAAAUAGAGACUAGUAUGAAAGGCAUCACGAGAAUUUAACUGUCUCCUUUUUCUAAUCAGUGAAACUAAUCUUCCCGUGAAGAAGCGGGAAUCCAAAAAUAAGACGAGAAGACCCUAUGGAGCUUUAAACACUAACCACCUGCCCAAUCCUAUAAGACCCCGGUUCCAAAACCAACGCAUCAUGACUACGUGUUUUUGAUUGGGGCGACCACGGAAAAUAAUCAAACCUCCGUAAUGAAAACCUACAAGCCACAGCUUUAAGUAUCAACAAAUUGACAUCCAUUGACCCAAUAUAUUGACUAAUGAACCAA